rnacentral:lncRNA from 1 species
AAAGGCAAUGGAAUUUGGUAACAGAACAGAGAUAAAGAAAGAGGGAGAGGUAGAGAUGUCUGAGAAAAUGUUCCCCAGGGCCCAGGUCCUGUCUAAAGAGAAUAGAUCAAAAUCAUCUAAAGCAGGGCUCAGGAAACAUUUUCUGUAAAGGGCCAGAUAGUAAAUAGUUUAGGCUUUGUGGGCCCUAUGGUGCCUGUCACAACAGCUGUAGAACUCUGCUGCUGCAGUGUAAAAGCAGCCACCGACAAUGCGUGAGUGGGUGUGCUGUGUUCCAAUAAAGCUUUCGUUUCAAAAACAGGCAGUGAUUACAAUCGUUAAUUUUAUGUUAUGUGAGUUUCACCUCAAUUAAAACAAAAGCAGGCCAUGGGUUUGAUUUGGCCCAUGGGGCUGUAGUUUGCAAACACCUGUUCUAGACAGUGGGGCAAGAGGGGUGAAGGGCAGGAUGGGGAGGAGCACUUGGGGACUUAGAGAAGACAAGGACUGUGCUGGCUUCCAUGGGUCCCAUGAACAGUGACCAGUGAAUGAUCUGAGUUCAAAUCUGACUCUGUCACUUCCUAGCUAUGGGACUUUCAGUAAAUUACUUAUUUACUUAUCCUGAGCCUCAGUUUUCCUCUUCUAUAAAAUGGGGAAAAAGAGUACCUACAUCAUUGCAUUGUUCUGAGAAUCAAAUGAGAUAAUGAAUGUAGGUGGCUAGCAUAAGGUCAAUAAAGAUUUUCUUACUUAAUUUUAAGGAUUGACUAUGAAUUGCAAGACCCUAGCUGUUCCUAGGGCUCCAAGCCCUGCCUGGGGUCCCUGAUCAUGGAUCAGCUCUUCUCUGGACUGUUGUCUAGGCAGGGCUUGGAGCCCUAGCAGGCAGAGAGGUGAGACUGGAAAGAAGGGAGGAGUUGGGCACUGGGGUGGGAGGUAAAGGAAGAGGCCCUACCAGUCAGUGGCAGAGAGAACAAAAUGUAUAUCCCCAGAUCUACGGAGAAAUAGACCCCACAGGUGCAAACACAAACUUCAUGCACACAUGCACACCAAGAUGAUGCAGCCCGUCUCCACCAUGCUUGGUAAAACAAGGUUCUGAAGUGCUUUGUCUCCAGCUCAUCAACGUGACCCACAGGGACAGGCCUCAUUGCAGUGUGGUUUAUUGGACCCCAGUGUGGACCAGUGUGUCUCACCGGCACUAGCAACUGAAGCUCUGGUCUGG